UAAACCUUAAUAUUAAUAGUUAAGAUCUUUAAAUUAUAAGAAUUUGGCGGUAAUUUAGUCUAUUCAGAGGAACCUGUUCUGUAAUUGAUGAUCCACGAUGGAUUCUACUUGAAUUUUUGUUUGUAUAUCUCUGUCAUUGAAUGUUUUAUUAGAAUAAUUUUCUUUAAUCAUUUAUUGUGAAUAAUGUCAGGUCAAGGUGCAAUUAUAUUUAAGAUUGAAAUGGGUUACAUUUAAUAUUAUUAAUUAGUUCAAUUGUUGGAAGGACUUUUGUUAAAUAGGAUUUGAAAGUAAUAUUUAAUAAUUUUUAAUUAUGAUUUUAGCUCUAAAUUAUGCACAUAUCGCCCGUCGCUCCCAUUUUAAGAUGGGAUAAGUCGUAACAAAGUAAUUUUACUGGAAAGUGAAGUUGGAUUUAUC
rnacentral:rRNA from 1 species